GAUGGAGACGAGUAUAAAUUUUGAAGGCCUAGCUUGAGAAGGUGAUGUUGGAACAGAAUAGAAGUAAGCAAUUUGGUAAAGAUAUCUGCAAGUUGGUGGUGAUAAGGGACUUGCACUGUAGAAAUGAAGCCUUUUGAUAGUUGAUCUCUCACUACAUGAUAGUCGAUUUCAAGAUGUUUUGUUCUUUCGUGGAACACCAUAUUGGUAGCUAUAUGUUUUGUCACCUUAUUGUCAUAGUGUAGAGCAAUUGGGAGAGGAGUUUGCAAGCCAAAAUCAUUGAGAAGAUGGGUAAGCCAUUUGAUUUCACAUACUGUAGUUGUCAUGCUUCUACAUUCUGCCUCAAUUGAAGAUCGAUUGAUGGUGUAUUUUUUCUUUGCCUUCCAAGAAAUUAAGGAAGGACUAAGGAAUACACAAAAACCUGUGAUCAAUUUUUGGGACAUAGGACAAGAAUCCCAAUCUGCAUUGCAGAAAGCUCAAAGCUUAAGGUCAUUAUUUAAUGGGAAGAACAGACUCUUUGAUGGACAUCCUUUCAAAUACCGUAAGACAUGCAUGGUCAUAUCCCAGUGAGGUUUUCUAGGAGCUUACAUAAACUGGCUCAAUUAUUGUGUUGCAUAAGAGACAUAUGGUUUGAUAUAGCAGCAGGCAUUUUACAGCUUCCAUCAACAAAGCCAAGCUCAUCCUUAGCUCUUAAAGCAAUUGUCAUGGACCUACUCCAUGAUAGGUAAUUCUUCCCAGUCAAAGGGAGCACUAACCAGCACCAUUCUAGGGUUAUCUGAGUUUUGAAGAUGGAGAUUACCAUCUUUAGUUGCAGCAUUUUGGGUUGGUGCAGAUCGGUUAUCAAGUUCAACCAUAUUAAGAAGAAAAAAAAAAUGAGCAAAGCAAUAUUUGAAAGGGUAAAAGAAAAAUAAAUCUGAGAGAAAUUCUGCUCAAAUUUGAAGCAAAGGGCGAAAAAACUUAUCAGCAUAGGUUGUGCUUUGACACCAAGAACAAAUAGCUAUUAUCUUGUAGAAAUAAGCUGAAUGAAUUUGCAUUGAGAAAAUAUUUGUUUAUAUACAA